GGUUUCUCUCUGUCGCCCAGGCUGGUGUGCAGUGGUGCUGUCAUAGCUCACCGCAGCCUUGCACUUCUGGGCUGAAAUAAUCCUGCCUCUGUCUCCCAAGUAGCUGGGAAUACAGGCACGUGCCACCAUGCCUGGCUAACUUUUAAACUUUUUUUCGAGACAGGGUCUCACUAUGUCACCCAGGCUGGUCUGGAACUUCUGUCCUCAAACGAUUCUCCCAUCUCAGCUUCCCAACAUGCUGAAAUUACAGGCGUGAGCCACUGCACCGAGCCCCAUUUAAAAAAAAAUAAGUUGCUGACCUCUGUAAUAAUACACUUUAACUUGAUUGUUCUUUUAAGUGUAAAGAAAGAAAAAAAUACCCUUUUGAUUACAUUUGCUUUAGUGAGAGCCUUGGUUUUAGAGAAACCUAUGUAUUGGACUUGUGAUGUUUUGGGACUACUGUUGUAAUGGGGUGAAGUGGAAUGGUAGAUGUUCCAGAAACUUUUCAGUGAUUAUGUACACCUGUAGUGGUUUUCAUCUUGCUGCAAGCUCCCAUAUACAAUGUGCUAAUACUACUUGGGUUAUCUUCCAGUUAAAGCUAGAUCUUUGUAGUUUUGAAACAUCUGUAUUCAAAUAUAUAAGCUGCUU
rnacentral:lncRNA from 1 species